rnacentral:lncRNA from 1 species
GAGUGAAGAGUCAGUUUCUCACCUAUUUUUCAAGUGCCUAGUGUAACACCCCGAAUUCGAUUAAUUAAUUUAAUUGAAUUAUUUAGAAUUUUAUUUGAUUAAUUGGUAUUUCGAAUUAUUUGUUGUGUGAUUGUGGGGGUAAAUAUUCUUGAGUAGAGGUAUAGAAAGAGUAAGAGUUUGGCAUAAUUGUUUGGAAAUUAAUUGGAAUUUUAAUUCAAUAUUAGAAUAAAUAGUGUUUUAUAAAUAGUAUUUUUAUUUUAGUUAAUUAAUUAAAUAAUAAAAUGAUAGAAUUGGGCUAUUUGUGAAAAUUGGAGGAAAUAAGGGUUAAAAAUAGAGAAGUUAUUAUUGAGUUGGGCAAAUUUCAUAAUUACACAAGGUGAUGAGGAAGUAUAUAUUCU